ensembl:lncRNA
GGCUGGCAGCAACAGACAGACGCUCCUCACCAUGUAUGGCAGUGGCUUCUCCACAGAGGCCAGUUAGCCAGCACAUGCUGGAGACUGGAGCUGGACACUGGAUGAAUGAACUGGGCAUAUGUCAGAGGACACACAGUACAUGGGAGUAGUGGUCAUCAGGACUUAAGGAGAGUUACAGCAGCCUUGGAGUAACGCUGAGCAGUAAGACCUGGAGCGGGAACAGCCUGAGUCUACACUGUGGAACAUAGAGAAGUAGAGAUGACUGGAACCCUGCUGACUCUGGUUCUGCUCUGUUGCAUAGUGGUGCUGUGUGAAUGUGAGCCAACUCAGCCAGGGCUAGACAGAGGAGAGAGGGGCUCAGAUGG